AGCAUGGCGGCCCCCAAGAUGAGCAUGGGUAAACCUACCGCGGACCGUUUACCGUGCAAUACCACCAGUUUUCAGAAGAAAUCACGAAGCAAAUUAGUUUCAAUACCUGGCACAAGACCUUCGAUUCAAAAUGGGCAACUUAUUGUUUCGACUGGUGUCACAUCUCUCGACUACGUGAUUGGUGGUGGUUUAGCAGUUGGAACCCUUCUACUCAUAGAGGAGGACCGAUAUGACAGCUACUCUCGUAUGCUGCUCAAGUACUUCCUGGCAGAGGGGGUGGUGUGUGGACAUGAACUCUACGUGGCGUCUGCUCUGGACCACCCCAAUGACAUCCUACAGGAACUCCCUGCCCCCAUCCUGGAUGACAUCGCCAGCCCCAAAACAGUGGAGGACCAGGCAAAGUCAUGUGACCCUGAGAGUCAGGACGCCAUGAAGAUCGCCUGGCGCUACCAGCACCUGCCAAAAGUACAGACGGCCCUGGCGUCCUCGUCGAGGUUCGGACACUACUACGACGUCUCCAAGACAAUGGACCCUGAGAUCUGCCAGGCGGCCAGGUGCCACGGCUUCUACCUUCCAGAACACUCCACUGCUGUGACAUCACCCACUGCCACCAGGCAGAGCCCUAUGCCAGAGACCUACUCCUCUCUGCUGAACAAUCUCCAGGAGGUCAUCCACAGGGAAGGCUUUGAUGGAUCUGUCCCCCAGACCAAGUCACGGAACAUCCUACGGAUCGGGCUGCACUCCCUCGGCUCCGCCCUGUGGGGUGACGACCUAUGUUGCCGUGAAAACCCAAGCCACGGCCACGCCCUCACCACCUUCCUUUACGGCCUUCGGGCCAUGCUGAGGUCAUCGCUCUCUGUCGCCGUGGUUACCGUGCCCUCACACCUCAUCCAGAACAGAGCUCUGAUGGGCAAUAUAACCAGGUUGUGUGACACGGCCAUCGCUCUAGAGUCCUUCAGAGGCUCAGAGAGAGAGACCAACCCCCUGUACAAAGAUUACCACGGUCUGCUAGAUGUACGUCAGCUGCCCUAUCUGAACUGCCUGGUGUGUGAUCUGCCCGACAACAAGGACCUGGCCUUCAAACUCAAGAGGAAGCAGUUCACCAUUGAGAGACUACAUCUGCCUCCAGACCUGUCAGAGACAGUGAGUCGUGUGAGCCGGGGAGAGCUGACAGGGACAGCCAUGGUGGGCUCCUCAGGCUGUGGCUCCGGCUCCACUGGCAACAGACAUCUGGACUUCUAGAACCCCCCUCACCAUCGUCACCGCUGGCAACAAACAUCUGGACUUCUAGAACCCCCCUCACCAUCAUCACCGCUGGCAACAGACAUCUGGACUUCUAGAACCCCCCUCACCAUCAUCACCGCUGGCAACAAACAUCUGGACUUCUAGAACCCCCCCUCACCAUCAUCACCGCUGGCAACAAACAUCUGGACUUCUAGAACCCCCCCUCACCAUCAUCACCGCUGGCAACAAACAUCUGGACUUCUAGAACCCCCCUCACCAUCAUCACCGCUGGCAACAAACAUCUGGACUUCUAGAACCCCCCUCACCAUCAUCACCGCUGGCAACAAACAUCUGGACUUCUAGAACCCCCCCUCACCAUCAUCACCGCUGGCAACAAACAUCUGGACUUCUAGAACCCCCCUCACCAUCAUCACCGCUGGCAACAAACAUCUGGACUUCUAGAACCCCCCUCACCAUUAUCACGGCUGGCAACAAACAUCUGGACUUCUAGAACCCCCCUCACCAUUAUCACCGCUGGCAACAAACACAUGGACUUCUAGAACCCCCCUCACCAUUAUCACGGCUGGCAACAAACAUCUGGACUUCUCGAACCCCCUCACCAUUAUCACUGCUGGCAACAAGCACAUGGACUUCUAGAACCCCCUCAUCAUCAUCACCGCUGGCAACAAACAUCUGGACUUCUAGAACCCCCCUCACCAUCAUCACCGCUGGCAACAAACACCUGGACUUCUAGAACCCCCUCACCAUUAUCACCGCUGGCAACAAACACCUGGACUUCUAGAACCCCCUCACAAUUAUCACCGCCGGCAACAAACACCUGGACUUCUAGAACCUCCUCACCAUUAUCACCGUUACACCACUGUCACAUUGUCAACCAUUUACCUGCCAACCGUUUUCGCCCGCCAAUAUUUUCCCUUCAACUGUCCAAGUGGCCUAGCACCCUCCUUCCUUUUACUAGGACAGUUUGACAUUUGAUAUUUUAGUCAUUUUAGUAAAGGCUAUUAUCUAGCGCGACUUACAAUACCUGUAUUGAAGUAAGGAGGCAGCGACACUCCAUCCAAGCCCUCUAUGUAACUCUGUCAUCUUGGUGUGACUGGGCCUGUCCCAGGGAGAGAGAGAGAGACGGGGGGGGGUCAUUUCAAUGGGAUAUCUGUAAUGAAACACACGAUACACCUUUCUGCUAUUUCACCAUCCUGCUGUUUCACCAUCCUGCUAUUUCACCAUUCAAUCAAAGGCAUCUUGAAAAUAUGUUUUUUGAUAAGUUGAAUAAAUGUGUAUAAAUCCAUA